rnacentral:rRNA from 1 species
GACGAACGCUGGCGGCGUGCUUAACACAUGCAAGUCGAACGGAAAGGCCCUGCUUUUGUGGGGUGCUCGAGUGGCGAACGGGUGAGUAACACGUGAGUAGCCUGCCCUUGACUUUGGGAUAACUUCAGGAAACUGGGGCUAAUACCGGAUAGGAGCUCCUGCUGCAUGGUGGGGGUUGGAAAGUUUCGGCGGUUGGGGAUGGACUCGCGGCUUAUCAGCUUGUUGGUGGGGUAGUGGCUUACCAAGGCUUUGACGGGUAGCCGGCCUGAGAGGGUGACCGGCCACAUUGGGACUGAGAUACGGCCCAGACUCCUACGGGAGGCAGCAGUGGGGAAUAUGGCACAAUGGGCGGAAGCCUGAUGCAGCAACGCCGCGUGCGGGAUGACGGCCUUCGGGUUGUAAACCGCUUUCGCCUGUGACGAAGCGUGAGUGACGGUAAUGGGUAAAGAAGCACCGGCUAACUACGU